AAGGUCUCAAUUUAAAGGAAAGGUUUGUCCCUUGUAUGAUGUAAAUUGAUAUUGUUUUAUGGUGAAACCACCUAUCUUUUCAUAUUUGUGCAAAUCAAAAUUCAAUGGAUAUCAAAUCAACAAAGAGUAUACAAAGACGAGGAGGCAUACACAAAGGUAUGUCAAUUGGUAUGUUAUGCAGAUCACAUGUAUCAUCCUCCUCCCUUACCUCUUCAAUGAAUAUCCCAUAGGCCUCUACAUUAUGGACAAGGAAACCUGUUCGAUCACCAUGCACUGAAAAAUCAUUCUGGAUAUGGAUACAGAAAACAUCAACACAUUAACAUCAACACGCCAGAGGAUAUACCCAUUGAACUUGGGGCUCUGCUGGGAGUUUACCUCAUCUUUAGAUUGUUUUUAUUCUGCUUUGCCACUAAAAUAACAAUAAACA